rnacentral:rRNA from 1 species
GAUGAACGCUGGCGGCGUGCCUAAUACAUGCAAGUCGAGCGAACAGAUCAGGCGCUUGCGCCUUUGACGUUAGCGGCGGACGGGUGAGUAACACGUGUGUACCCUACCUAUAUGACUGGGAUAACUUCGAGAAACCGGCGCUAAUACCGGAUAAGAUUUCGAACCGCAGGGUUCGAUAGUAAGAGAUGGUUUUGCUAUCACUUAUAGAUGGACCCGCGCCGUAUUAGCUAGUUGGUAAGGUACCGGCUUACCAAGGCGACGAGACGUAGCCGACCUGAGAGGGGGGUCGGCCACACUGGAACUGAGACACGGUCCAGAGUCCUACGGGAGGCAGCAGUAGGGAAUCGGACGCAAUGGGCGAAAGCAUGACGGAGCAAGGCCGCGUGAGUGAUGAAGGUCUUCGGAGCGUAAAACUCUGUUAUUAGGGAAGAACAUACGUGUAAUUAACUGUGCACGGAGUGACGGUACCUAAUCAGAAAGCCACGGCUAACUACGUG